AUUGAACGCUGGCGACAUGCCUUACACAUGCAAGUCGAACGGUAACAGGUCUUCGGAUGCUGACGAGUGGCGAACGGGUGAGUAAUACAUCGGAACGUGCCCGAUCGUGGGGGAUAACGGAGCGAAAGCUUUGCUAAUACCGCAUAAGAUCUACGGAUGAGAGCAGGGGACCGCAAGGCCUUGCGCGAACGGAGCGGCCGAUGGCAGAUUAGGUAGUUGGUGGGAUAAAAGCUUACCAAGCCGACGAUCUGUAGCUGGUCUGAGAGGACGACCAGCCACACUGGGGCUGAGACACGGCCCAGACUCCUACGGGAGGCAGCAGUGGGGAAUUUUGGACAAUGGGCGCAAGCCUGAUCCAGCCAUGCCGCGUGCAGGAUGAAGGCCUUCGGGUUGUAAACCACUGUCAGUGGGAAAGAUGGGUGUCGGCGCGAUAACCGCCGGCAUCUGACGGUACCUGCAGAGGAAGCCCCGGCUAACUCUGUGCCAGCCGCCGCGGUAA
rnacentral:rRNA from 1 species